AACGAACGCUGGCGGCAGGCUUAACACAUGCAAGUCGAACGCCACCUUCGGGUGGAGUGGCAGACGGGUGAGUAACGCGUGGAAACAUACCUUUUGCUUCGGAAUAUUCCCGGGAAACUGGGAGCAAUACCGAAUGUGCCCUGAGGGGGAAAGAUUUAUCGGCAAAAGAUUGGUCCGCGUUAGAUUAGGUAGUUGGUAGGGUAAGGGCCUACCAAGCCUACGAUCUAUAGCUGGUCUGAGAGGAUGAUCAGCCACAUUGGGACUGAGACACGGCCCAAACUCCUACGGGAGGCAGCAGUGGGGAAUAUUGGACAAUGGGCGCAAGCCUGAUCCAGCCAUGCCGCGUGAAUGAUGAAGGCCUUAGGGUUGUAAAAUUCUUUCACCGGGGACGAUAAUGACGGUACCCGGAGAAGAAGCCCCGGCUAACUUCGUGCCAGCCGCCGCGGUAA
rnacentral:rRNA from 1 species